CCGCCGACGACCAUCGUAGGCUGCCGUGGGGGUCGAAAUCGCCGGCGCGAUUAUUGUGUUUUUCAGCCGAUACCGAGUCGAUGCACCGGCCAUCGCUUCGCGAGACCGCCUUCGUCGGUACAAGGAAAUGGAAGCAGAUUGCUGGAUUGGGACUUUACGGACAUAGAUCGCGAUGCUAGUAACGCAAUAUCGAGUCGAAAGAGUCUCGCGGUUCCGAUACGCGCGUGUGAUGACCCCGGUGCAUCGGCGGUGCGGAGAUAACACGCGCGCGGCGCGACCGAGUGCCCUUGAAUUAAAAUGAACAGGCGCCAUCUUGCCGUCGAGCGGUUUGCUCUUUGCCCCCUUCCAUCGAGCAAUUCGUGCCGAAGAUCGUCGCGACCAAUGGGAAUGCAUUCAGGAAACCACGUACGGUAUAGUAAUAACUUGUAGGAGGUAAUAUAUGUGUCUAUUUCAAAGGGCAAUAAUGCCUUCUGUAGCGGAUGACAACUUUUUUUCUACAGCCUGCCCUUGUGUUGUCUAUACAACCUUUUUCAAAAUUGCAUGAACCGCACAACAUAGCUUAUCUUCGUAUUGUUUAUACGAAGUUUAUAUUUCGUUUAUACAAUCAUGUUAAUAAAUCAUGUUAAUAAAAAUCUCUUUUAAAAUAGCAAUAAUUAAUAAUAUUUAUUCCUAUUAUACCACAUAAUUAUUGUAAUAGAAAUAAAAGAGAGAGGGAGAAGG